UGGACCGAUGAUGAAUUGCAUGGGGUUUCUGAAACCAGGACUCUGAUUAAGCCCAUCUGCAACUCUGAGGUCCGU
ensembl:snoRNA small nucleolar RNA, C/D box 113-6